rnacentral:tRNA from 1 species
GGCUGCGUGUCCGACUGAUUUAGGUACUUGGUUGCAACCCAAGUUAAGAGGGUUUGAUUCCUUCCGCAGCCU